UACGUAGGGUGCAGGCGUUAAUCGGAAUUACUGGGCGUAAGGCGUGCGCAGGCGGCUUUGCAAGACAGAUGUGAAAUCCCCGGGCUCACCUGGGAACUGCAUUUGUGACUGCAAGGCUAGAGUACGGUAGAGGGGGAUGGAAUUCCGCGUGUAGCAGUGAAAUGCGUAGAUAUGCGGAGGAACACCGAUGGCGAAGGCAAUCCCCUGGACCUGUACUGACGCUCAUGCACGAAAGCGUGGGGAGCAAACAGG
rnacentral:rRNA from 1 species